GAUGAACGCUGGCGGCGUGCCUAAUACAUGCAAGUCGAGCGAACAGACGAGGAUUUUGCUCCUCUGACGUUAGCGACGGACGGGUGAGUAACACGUGGAUAACCUACCGAUAAGACUGGGAUAACUUCGGGAAACCGGAGCUAACACCGGAUAAUAUAUUGAACCGCAUGGUUCUAUAGUGAAAGAGGGUUUUGCUGUCACUUAGACAGAGUACCAAGCCGGAUUAGCUAGUUGGUAAGGUAACGGCCUACCAAGGCGACGAUGCGUAGCCGAUCUGAGAGGAUGAUCGGCCACACUGGAACUGAGACACGGUCCAGACUCCUACGGGAGGCAGCAGUAGGGAAUCUUCGGCAAUGGGCGAAAGCCUGACGGAGCCACGCCGCGUGUGUGAUGAAGGUCUUCGGAUCGUAAAGCUCUGUUAUUAGGGAAGAACAGCUGUGUAAGUAACUAUGCACGUCUUGACGGUACCUACUCAGAAAGCACCGGCUAACUACGUG
rnacentral:rRNA from 1 species